rnacentral:lncRNA from 1 species
GGAAGCUUAAGAUAAAUUUUUGGGGUUAUGGUCCCAAUGGUUUAGGAAUUAGGGGCCAAAUAAGCAUUUUUGUAGUUUUUAGUCAAUAACUUGUGUUUUAAUUGUAUAAAUAUCUCUGAAAUUAUACCACAAGUUUCCAAAUUACACAGGUAUGGUUAUUUGGGGGUUAUGACUCAAAUCUUUUAGCAAUAAGGGACAUGAAAGGCGGG